CCAACACCAGACGCGCAGUAAUAUUCAAAGUCCACUUUUCAAUAUGCUCUAAAAUAGUACACUUUGUUUCCCCAAAACAUCAGUCUCUACUGCUACUAUUGUGACUAUUAAAGAAAAACUUUAUAAUAAUUUAAUGAAAAAGAGUUCAGUUAAACGUGUGAGUGAAUAUACCUUCAAUCCAAGAAUAGCUCAAAAAUGUGCUCAAUAUGCAACAAACUGCUGAGAAGAGUUUAGAAAUUCUACACAACUACUCCAGCCAAUCUCUUACAAAAAGCAACCAGUGAAGAGAUUCAUUAUUUUUGCCAAGAGAGAUUGCCAGCCGAGACCUGAC